UACGUAGGUGGCGAGCGUUGUCCGGAUUUACUGGGCGUAAAGAGCGCGCAGGCGGUCGUCCAAGUCGCGUGUGAAAGCCCCCGGCUCAACUGGGGAGGGUCACGCGAUACUGAUCGACUCGAAGGCAGGAGAGGGAAGCGGAAUUCCUGGUGUAGCGGUGAAAUGCGCAGAUAUCAGGAAGAACACCAAUGGCGAAAGCGGCUCACUGGCCCGUAACUGACGCUCAUGCACGACAGCGUGGGGAUCAAACAGG
rnacentral:rRNA from 1 species